UGGUUGGCGGUGAUUAUAAAAGUAAUUCCUCGUUCUGAAUGCUUCAAAGCUUGAUAGAAUAUGAGCUUC
rnacentral:snoRNA from 1 species